GAUGAACGCUGGCGGCGUGCCUAAUACAUGCAAGUCGAGCGAACAGACGAGGAGCAUGCUCCUCUGACGUUAGCGGCGGACGGGUGAGUAACACGUGGAUAACCUACCUAUAAGACUGGGAUAACUUCGGGAAACCGGAGCUAAUACCGGAUAAUAUAUUGAACCGCAUGGUUCAAUAGUGAAAGACGGUUUUGCUGUCACUUAUAGAUGGAUCCGCGCCGCAUUAGCUAGUUGGUAAGGUAACGGCUUACCAAGGCAACGAUGCGUAGCCGACCUGAGAGGGUGAUCGGCCACACUGGAACUGAGACACGCUCCAGACUCCUACGGGAGGCAGCAGUAGGGAAUCUUCCGCAGUGGGCGAAAGCCUGACGGAGCAACACCGCGUGAGUGAUGAAGGUCUUCGGAUCGUAAAACUCUGUUAUUAGGGAAGAACAAAUGUGUAAGUAACUAUGCACGUCUUGACGGUACCUAAUCAGAAAGCCACGGCUAACUACGUG
rnacentral:rRNA from 1 species